ACGAUUAGCAUCGAUGCAAUGUGGUUCAUCGCGACGUGAUCAAGUGUAGAGGUAACGUUAUGUGUGUGAUUGUUGUUGUUGUUGAGUUGGUAAGCACAGUUUUUUUUUGUUUUGUUUUGUACACAGCGCGCGCAGUUUUGUUUUGAGGAAGCAAACGAGGAUGAUCAAUGGCAUGGUGUGGUGGCAUGCAGGAGAAACAAGAGAACGUCCAGAAAAGAAAGAGAAAAAGAAACGAAGAAACAAAGGCCAAAAUUAGAUGAUUGAACUGUGGUUGCAUUGAAUAUCUAUCUGAAAGAACGAUGUGGAAUGUUAGUUAAGUUAGUGUUCUAUGCAAUGUAUAGUUGCCCCGUCACUUCAUAAGAUUAAUUCCAGAACAAUAAAAAAUAAGCUAAAUAAUAUCAUUGGCAAAUCAAACAAAUUGACUAGAUAAUUUGAAAUGUUUAACCCAGAUCAAUGCGAAGGAAAGUGGCACAUUUGACUAACGAUCGUUUGCCAUAAUGAACAUUAACGCACACUUUUUUUGUCAACUGCCUUUUUUACCAAAUGACCUUAUUAUACCAAUCGAACAUAUUCUAAAUGUCACAGAUCCUCUGCAAAACUCCUGCUAACGUUAUAUCAAUCAACAGGAACCGAUCUAUCUUAGAGAAUAAAACAUAUUGGUGUCGAAUGCACAUCAGCUUAACAUUUAUUUUCUGGUUCUAAUCAUAGACCAUGGAGUUGCUUCAAUCACUACUCUUCAAAGGGAUGAAGGACAAUCUCCUUCCGGAACGGCUAAGCUUGACUCUUGCUAAGAGUUUCGUUGGAGAUUUUAGACUGUGAUGUGGGAUGUUUAGAUAUUUCUCUGGGGGUCUGGCUAUCAGUUUCAACAAGUUGCGUUUUUUUCAGAAAUUUUUGCCGACGUUUCGAUCCCUUAGGAUCUUUUUCAAGGCCUAAAAUUUAUUAUUUUGAUUUUCAACAUUCAACACAUAACACAUUAGCUGAUAAAAACUACUUACUCGAUACUAAAUCGAAAGUUAGUUGUUUGAACCUUGCUUCUUAAGAUUUGUGCGUCUGAAGUUCUGAUGCACUGUUGAAACGGGAUUUCAAGACGUUUGUCCUUAAUAUUUAAAUACGCCAUUAGUUGUUCAAACCCGUAACUGAGUAUAGACGUUCAUUUCACUGUGCUAAGAGGUUAUUGGCCGAGCCCUAACAACCGUUACUCGGGUAGUCAACACAAGUGGGACACAAGUGGAUGUAGCCGAAGGUGCAAUCGUGAAUCAAGAUGUUUCGUUGAGAGCCCUUGCUACAAUAUGUCUUAGUAUUGAUCCAAUCAACUGUAUUCUUGAGCCUAGGAAGCCUGGAUGAACCUCAAGAAUGCAUUCCAGAACAGCGGAAUGACCCGCUGCAUGGGUCUGCUGCGGAAGCCAACAGAUAUUCGUCUGGUCGAAUGCAGGUCUAUGGAAGAAUAAGUGAAUGAAACAAUGUCCACAAGUCAUAAGCUAGCGGAGGUUGGCUUCAAAGUGGAUACCUACAUGGCUGGCCAGGUGGCUGCUCAUAAGUCUGCCCUUUAGGAAUUCCUUCAGACGUUCCUCCACAGAUUCAUUCAGGAAUUUCUCCAAGGAUUCCUUCAGGAAUACCUUCACAAAUUCCUCCAAGAAUUCCACCAGGGAUUCCUUUAGAGAUUCCUCCAAUAAUGUUUCCAAGCAUUCCUCCAAGAAUUCUUCCAGGAAUUACUCCAGAGUACCUCCCAGAAAUUUCUCCAAGGAUUCCUACAAGAAUUCUACCAGGGAUUCCUUCAGGAAUUCCUCCAGAGAUACUUCCAGGGAUACCUCCAAGAAUUCUACCAGGGAAUCCCACAGCAAUUCCUCCAGGGAUACCUCCAGAGUUCCUCCAGGGGUUCCUCCAGAAAUUCCUCCAAAGAUACCCUCAGGAAUUCCCACAGACAUUCUUCCAGGGUUUCCUCCAGGGAUUCUUCCAAGGAUUCCUCCAGGGAUUUCUGCAGAGAUUCCUCCAGGAUUAUCUCCAGGAAUUCCUCCAGGAAUUCUUCCAGACGUUCCUCCAGAGAUUCAUUCAGGAAUUUCUCCAAAGAUUCCUUCAGGAAUACCUUCACAAAUUCCUCCAGGGAUUUCUUUCGAGAUUCCUUUAAAAAUUCCUUUGGGAAUUCCUCCAAGAAUUCCUCCAGGAAUUUCUCCAGAGUACCUCUCAGAAAUCCUCCAGGGAUUCUUUAAAGAAUACCUCAAAAAAUCCAGGGAUUCCUCCAAGGAUUCUUUCAGGAAUUCCUCCAAGAAUUCCUCAAAGAAUUCCUUCAGGUGUUCCUUCAGAGAUUCCUCCAAGAUUCCAAUUCUCCAGGGAUUCCUAAAGGAUUUCCUCCAGGAAUUCCUGCAGGAGUUUGUUCAGAAUUAUCUUUAAGGAUUUCUCCGGGAAUUCCUCCAGGGAUUAUUUCAGGAAUUCAUAAAAGGAUUCCUCCUACGAUUCCUCCAAGAAGUCUUCCAGGAAUUCCUCCAGGAAUUUCUCCAGAAAUUCCUCCAGGAAUUCUUUCAGGGGUUCCUGCAGGAAUUCUUCCAAAGAUACCUUCAGGAAUUCUCAUAGACAAUUCCUCCAAGAAUUCCUUCAAGAAUUUCUCCAGGGAUUCUUUCCAAGGAUAUCUCCAGGAAUUCUUUCACUGACUCCUCCAGGAAUUCCUCCAAAGAUGCCCCCAGGAAUUUUUCCAUAGACAUUCCUCCAGAAAUUCGUCGAGGGAUUCCUCCAGGCAUUCUUCCGGAUUUUUUUCAUGUGUUCCUCCAAGGAUUCCUCCAGGAAUUCUGUUACAAAAAUAAAAGAAAUUAAUUAUUACAAAGGAUUAACAUAUUACGAACACAUAGAACCUUAUGAAUGCACGAAUAAAAGACAUCACAAUUUGACGCAACACGACACAUAACAUAAAUUUGCCCUGUUAUCCAAAUGGAUAACAUAUUCCGAUCACAGGAUGACGAGGUUUCAAUUUAUUUGUUUGGGUCCAUCAGUCAUCCUGGAAUUGUAUUUUAUUUGGCGGUAUGCCUUUUAGUUCACAGCCAGGCUUGGAAAGCGUCAGCGUCAAUACGGGUCGUUACGCGAAUUUUACAGAAGUGCCUCUCUCAAUGUCAUCGAAUCAGGAGGAAAUGACCAAGAGAGGCUAACAAUAUUCUCUCAUUUUUUGGUCAUGACGGAGCGUGACAUGGUUGUAAACAAGGCAAUUACUUCAACAUUCAUGGAUUUUGUCAUUGUUUAAAUCCUACAAAGCAUAAAUGUAUAUUCUCUCUAUCUGUUACAUACAACGACUAGCCCAAAUUUGCUUGGACCAGGUGAAAAUUUUAAUUUCAAAACAAUAUGAAAGUUUCCGUCAUGACGCUUGAUCAUUGCAAAAUGACAUGACGAAGUGCGUGAAUGCUCGUUUUGUCUAGUGACGAUGAAAGGGCCUACUUGUUCAUCGUCAUGGAAAGCUCACGACCAAUAACAGCGCUGUUCACAGCAUUUGUUGCUGUGUUCAUAGCUUGGUUUUGUCUAGGAAAACUAAUCCUAAUCGGGCAUCCCGUUUCGGGUUUCGAUACUAGAGCUCUAUGACUUGAAGUCUGUGUCAGGGAAAGGUUUACGUAUCUAGUUCUUAAUCGCGGCCCGAAAUGGCCUGAAUGUUGGCAAUCGAAAUAGGAUUGCACUUCAUUGGCCUCUAUCCUGCCAGAACCCUAUAAAUGUUAAUUAAUACUAGGGUAAUAUUUACAAAUUAAAAUUCAACAUGUAGCACAAGGAACGAACGAAUAUUGAACUUUAAACACAUUAAACAAUUAUUCUGUCUUAUUAUUGUAACAAAUAUUUAUACCCGUAACACAAUCCAACGUUUGAGCAAGAAUUUUUCGUGAAUCGUUCACCGAUUUACGAAAAAUUCAGCUCCCAUAUGCUUCAUAUCCUUCAUAACAAUAGUGUUAAGGCCAUACACUUAACACUACGAUAAAGAUAAAUAACUUAACCUAAACUCAAAACGAAACCAAAACGAGUUUUGCUACCCGAAAGCCACAGUGCUUUCCAGAAACGUAGCGGUGAACAGGACUAACAAGCCCCACGUUGGGCGCCAUGUUACAAAAAUAAAAGAAAUUAAUUAUUACAAAGGAUUAACAUAUUACGAACACAUAGAACCUUAUGAAUGCACGAAUAAAAGACAUCACAAUUUGACGCAACACGACACAUAACAUAAAUUUGCCCUGUUAUCCAAAUGGAUAACAUCUUCCGAUCACAGGAUGACGAGGUUUCAAUUUAUUUGUUUGGGUCCAUCAGUCAUCCUGGAAUUGUAUUUUAUUUGGCGGUAUGCCUUUUAGUUCACAGCAUUUGUUGCUGUGUUCAUAGCUUGGUUUUGUCUAGGAAAACUAAUCCUAAUCGGGCAUCCCGUUUCGGGUUUCGAUACUAGAGCUCUAUGACUUGAAGUCUGUGUCAGGGAAAGGUUUACGUAUCUAGUUCUUAAUCGCGGCCCGAAAUGGCCUGAAUGUUGGCAAUCGAAAUAGGAUUGCACUUCAUUGGCCUCUAUCCUGCCAGAACCCUAUAAAUGUUAAUUAAUACUAGGGUAAUAUUUACAAAUUAAAAUUCAACAUGUAGCACAAGGAACGAACGAAUAUUGAACUUUAAACACAUUAAACAAUUAUUCUGUCUUAUUAUUGUAACAAAUAUUUAUACCCGUAACAAUUCCUUCGGGAUUCCUCCAGGAUUUUCUCCAAUUAAUUCUUUAGGAAUUCCUUAACGAAUUCCUCCAAGAAUGCCUCCACGAAGUCCUCAAAAAAAUCCUCCAGGGAUUCCUCCAAAAAAUUUUCCAAGAAUUCCUCUAAGGAUUCCUCCAGGAAUUCCUUCGGGGAUCCCCCAGGAAUUCCUUCGGGGAUCCCCCAGGAAUUCCUCCAGAGAUUCCUCCAGGGAAUUUUUCAAGAAUUCAUUCACGAAUUCCUCCUGGAAGUCCUCCAAGAAAUCCUCCAGGGAUUCCUUCAGAGAUUCCUCCACGAAUUCCUCCAAGAAUGCCUCCAGGAAAUCCUCCAGAAAUUCAUCCAGAGAUACCUCCAGGGAUUUUUUCAGGAAUUCUUCCAAAGAUUCCUUCAGGAAUUCCUCCAAGAACUCCUCCAGGAAUUCCUCCAGAUAUUCCUCCAAGAAUCCUCCAGGGUUUCCUUUAGGAAUUCCUCCAGAUAUUCUUUCAAAAAUUUCUCAACGGAUUCCUCCAGGAUUUCUCACAGACAUUCUUCCAGGGAUUCCUCCAGGAAUUCCUUCAGGGAUUUCUCCAGGAAUUCUUUCAGACGUUCCUCCAGGAAUUUCUUCGGGAUUCCUCCAAGAAUUCCUCCAGGAAUUUCUCCAAGGAAUUCUUCGGGAAUUCCUUCACGGAUUCCUCCAAGAAUUUCUCCAAGAGUUCCUCCAGGAAUUCAUCCAGAAAUACCUUCAAGAAAUCCCCCAGGGAUUCUUUCAGAAAUUCCGCUAAGGAUUCCUUCAGGAAAUUCUCUAAGAAGUCCUCCAGGAAUUCCUGCAGGGACUCCUCCAGUUUCCUUCAGAAAUUCCUCCAGAGAUUCAAUCGGGAAUACUUACAGGGAUUCCUCCAGAAUCCUUCAAGGAUUCCUCCAACAAUUUCUUCCGGAAAUCUUGAAGGAAUUUAUGGACGAACCUCUAGAGGAAUUUAUGGAGCAAUUCCUGAAGGAAUCUCUGGAGAAAUAGCUGUAGAAAUUUUUAGAUGAUAUUUAGGAAGACUCUGAAAGAAUACCUAGAUGAAUUCCUGGAAGAACCCGACGAGAAAUCCCUGGAAAAUCCUUGAAGGAGUUCCUUGAAGAAUCCUUGAAAGAAUUCCUGGAGAAAUCCUUGAAGGAAUUUCUGGAAGAAUGUCUGUGAGAAAUCCUGGAGGAAUCCGUUGAGGAAUUUUUGAAAGAAUCUGGAUUUUUUGGAAUUUCUGGAGGAAUAUUUGAAGGAACUCCUCGAGGAAUCCCUGAUGGAGAUCCUGAAAGAAUCCAACGAGGAAUCUCACAUGUGCCGUGACCUGCCUGUUUUGAAGAACCGUAGGAAGACGUCGUAAACCGUAAAUGUUGCGAAUGAUGCCGAAGUCCCAGAAGUUGCCGUUGGAGAUGUGAAGCUAGAAGCCGACGUUGAAGGUAUUUCUUGCCCAGUCAUGUUGUCUAAUGCUAUUUGUGUUCCAGAGCUUUCGAUAAAUCUACUCUCUAUAAGUCAAAUUUGCAAGAAGGACCUUCGAGUUAUCCUUACGAGGAAUGUAUGUGAAGUCUACAAUGUUCAAUCCGGAGAGAUGGUUGCUGUAUGAUUCCAGAAAGAUGCCUCCUAUCAACUGGAGUUGGCUAGCAAUCCAAAUCCAUGUGCUGCCAAUGUGACGGAUAGGACGGCAUCAAGGACGGCAUUAUGGCAUCGACGAUUGGGGCGUAUGAACUAUAGAAGGCAUGGCGUUGUCGCUGACCAUGGCUUCUAAGGAUUUCAAGGUAUAUGUCGACAUACAGACUGGUAAGAAGAUAAAGCGGUUCAGAAGCGAUAAUGGUACAAAUCAAUCAUUGAGCGAUGCGAUGGUGGCAUACAAUCCUGAGCAAAAUGGACUUACUGAACGCAUGAAUCGGGCUACAGUAGAGCGAACGAGGGCAUUAUUGUUCGAUGCGAAUCUAGGAAAGCGCCUAGAGGUGGAGAUCGAUUCCGAAGACAGCGAAAGUGAAGUUGAUGAUUGUUGGCGCGUCAGACGAAUAGGCCCUUUGAAGCAGUCGUUUGAAGUCUACUACCACUACGACAACUAUCCCGUCAUCACAUAGCUUGUCAAACGAUAAUGUUUUUUCUAUGAUUGAUAGGCAAAACGUGUACAACUAGUGUUGAUAACUAACCGUAAUUACACGGAGACAAAUUUCGUACGUUUGAAACAAAAAUAUUCAUGUUUGUUCGGUAAACUGAUAAAAUUUUUAAAACCAAAAUAUUAAUUUUUAAAACUAACUCAAUUACAUAUUAAUUUCUACAAGACCCAUUGAAGAGCCCCCCGUUCCGCCGUCGAGAACAUAAACAAAACUCUCAAGUUCCAGCUGCAGCACCAAACAAGAUUUCCUCUUGCAAAAAAAGUCAAGUUUCACCAAAAGUUUCCACGAAAUCUCAUUGAUUUCGAGAGCGUAUGUUAUCUACAUGAUACUGGUAUUGAAAGUGCCACGCGGGAAGUGGGUUUUCCUAGAGAAGGAAAUGACUUUGUAAAAUUAAUUGGAAAACAAAUAUUUCCGUAGGGCCGACCUGCCACAAAAAAAAAACAAAAAAAUUUACAUUUGUUUCUAACAUAACCUGUCAGAAGAUGCAUGUUUGUUUCAAAAAUGGAUUGAAUUUGCUUCAAAUGUGACGUUCAAUUUGCUCCAAACAGUUUUAUUUUUGUUGCCAGAACAAAUUGACAAUUUAUUUGAGUUUACCUGAAAUAUUUUUGAUUUUACCAUGCUUUUUUCUGCGUGUACUUAAGUUAUUAUUGAAUUACUGUGAAAUCGGUGCUGAAAUUGAUUUAUCUACUAAACCCGUUUAUUUAACUUACAUUACGAUUAAGAACAGGUUUAGUUAAUACUUACUAAAACCAUCAAUUUAAAACCUCACGAACCGAUCACAAAUAGCUGAUUGUAAGCAGAAUUGUCCUAGACAACAAAAUACCGUCCCGCUACUUGCAUCUACAGAGGUCCAAUACGCUCAAAGUAUAGCCAAACUAAAUUGUAAGUAAAUAACAUCUAUGUUUCAAACAGUUAAUGAACGGAAAUAUAUUUACAGUCGAGUCGCGAGCUCGGACUACGGGAAAGUUUAACAAUGAUCAUGAAUCGGUAACUGACGAAUUCAACACGACCGUUGUGGAACGUAGACUGGAUGCAGCUGAAUCAAAUGUGGUAAGGCGUAACGAAAGGGAGCGCAGACCUCUCCAGGCAACUACAUCGAAGGCAUCUUUGCGAUGUAGUAGUCCAAAUUUUCCGCAAGUUUCCAUCCCACACAUACAUACUUGGUGAACCUGAGAGUUAUCGAGAGGCCUUGGCAGAUACCAACCGAAAGUAUUAAGCUCAAAUCGAAAAUGACACCGUUGACGUCGUUACUCCCAGAACGUGAAGCGUUGAAGAAUAAGUUGAUGAACAAAGCCAACAAGACCAACCCUGACGGAUCGAUUGAGAGGUUCAAAGAGAGAUUGGUAAUCAAAGGAUGUGCGCAAAUCCAGGGUAUCGACUAUGCUGAAACGUAUUCGUUAUGCGACGAUCCGGUUCUUGAUGGCAAAGGCAGUUGAGAACAAUAUUUCAAUUUUACCAGUUAGAUGCUGUAACGGCUUUCUUGCAAGGCGAGCUGAAGAAUGAAGAGAUUUAUAUGCAGCAACCAGAGGCGUCUCGUGACUAGCAGACUGACCUGUUCUACAGAUUACUAUUUUACUAAAUGAAAACACAUUAGAGUUAUAUUAUACUAUGCUUGCUGUUUUUUUUUUGUUUUAGUACAUAUUGUGAUUUUUAACAUAAGCUGAUUUUUAUCUUCUUGUUUGUUAACCAUUUUCUGAAAAAUAUCUUCCGCAUUUUCAUCGCAAAUAACGAUGCGAUUCGCAUUCAGAGGCGCCUUAGAGCGACUUCCGAAGUAUGGUAUCUCACAUACUUUUAGAAAAAUCAAUUUUCGGUGGAAGUCAUUUUUUAACGUUCUUCACACACCGACGAUAUAGUUUAUUGCAUUGCUAACUGGACUGCGACGG